rnacentral:rRNA from 1 species
AUCAACUUUCGAUGGUAGGAUAGAGGCCUACCAUGGUGGUAACGGGUAACGGGGUGUUAGGGCACGACACCGGAGAGGGAGCCUGAGAAACGGCUACCACAUCCAAGGAUGGCAGCAGGCGCGCAAAUUACCCAAUCCCGACACGGGGAGGUAGUGACAAUAAAUAACAAUACGGGGUUCUUUCGGAUCUCGUAAUUGGAAUGAGUACAAUUUAAAUCUCUUAACGAGGAACAAUUGGAGGGCAAGUCUGGUGCCAGCAGCCGCGGUAAUUCCAGCUCCAAUAGCGUAUAUUAAAGUUGUUGCAGUUAAAAAGCUCGUAGUUGAAUUUCGGGAUCAGUAGGUCGGUCAUGCCUAUGGUAUGUACUGGCUUUACUGAUUCCUCCUUCUUGAUGAUCUGUAAUGUCAUUAAUUUGGUGUUGCAGGGAGUCAGGACUGUUACUUUGAAAAAAUUAGAGUGUUUAAAGCAGGCAUACGCUUGAAUACAUUAGCAUGGAAUAAUGAAAUAGGACGUUCGAUCCUAUUUUGUUGGUUUCUAGGAUUGACGUAAUGAUUAAUAGGGAUAGUUGGGGGCAUUAGUAUUCAAUUGUCAGAGGUGAAAUUCUUGGAUUUAUUGAAGACUAACUACUGCGAAAGCAUUUGCCAAGGAUGUUUUCAUUAAUCAAGAACGAAAGUUAGGGGAUCGAAGACGAUCAGAUACCGUCGUAGUCUUAACCAUAAACUAUGCCGACUAGGGAUCGGAUGAUGUUAUUUUUAAUGACUCAUUCGGCGCCUUACGGGAAACCAAAGUGUUUGGGUUCA